rnacentral:rRNA from 1 species
AGAGACAGCAGUCGCCGCGGGAAUACGUAGGGUGCAAGCGUUAAUCGGAAUUACUGGGCGUAAAGCGUGCGCAGGCGGCUUCUUAAGUCGGAUGUGAAAUCCCUGAGCUUAACUUAGGAAUUGCAUUCGAUACUGGGAAGCUAGAGUAUGGGAGAGGAUGGUAGAAUUCCAGGUGUAGCGGUGAAAUGCGUAGAGAUCUGGAGGAAUACCGAUGGCGAAGGCAGCCAUCUGGCCUAAUACUGACGCUGAGGUACGAAAGCAUGGGGAGCAAACAGGAUUAGAUACCCGUGUAGUCCCUGUCUCUUAUAA